UUCAAAUAUAAAUUCUAACUAUUGCCUUAAAAUAACAUUAAUGAAUAUAUAUGGUACAUAAUGAAUUGUUUUGUUUUUUAAAACCUUUUUUCCAGCCAACUAUACCCCCAUGAAAAAAAAAGAAAUAGGACCUGAAGAUGUGUUCUAGUUCAAAUGCAUUUGUGUUAAGUAAAUUUGUACAAAAAAAGAAAACAAUACUUUUGUCAAACUAGUUUUAGUUUUACUUCCCAAAUAAAAUAUGGAUGAACAUCUAUAUAUGAAGUAUUUGACUAUGAUCCCAUGUCACACUUGAUCUGCACUAAGCCAAAUCGCAAUGUUGAUAUGCUUUUCUUCGGAAGUCACGUUUAAUCUCGUCUCACGGAAAAUGUUACUACAUUCGACAGGUGUGGAAAAAUGGCUUGAGAAAAACGAGUUCUCGUGGUGGUUGAAGCCGGUACCCGGGAAUGUGAAACUGUGUCGUUUGGAGAUUUCUUUGUUACACACCAUUUUCUUCCGUGUGUAAUGCAUCUCACAUUCACAGAACUUUGUUUUGGAAGCAGACUCAGGAAAGGAAGAGGGAAGUUAACAGGAAGUUUAUUGAAAACAGUGAGCGGUACAGAAAAAAGCAGGUGAGAGGACUGAUGGAUGAUAUGAUGGGUGACAAGACAGAUACAAUGGAGAAGGAACAAGGACAAAGCUGGGAGAUUGCUGGAUGAGGAUGAAAUUACCAAGAAGCCUAUGAAGGAGUGAGGCGGCUCUCAAAUUUCAUCAAAAAUAUCUUAAUUUGUGUUCAGAAGAU